AUGAAGAUGGUAAUUCAGCCAGCAACACUCAUGUCAAUGAUUCAGGUUUGGAUGAUGUCCGUUUACCAGAUAACAAUUCAUCGUAGUGAAAAGUGUGUCAUUAGGUAUGGUCCAUUCUUCAUUCGAGACAGGGAGAGGAUUGCCAAUCUGAACUACAUCUGCAACAACAAUGAUGUAGAGGCCGUGAACAUGCUUCGAAUGCGUUGAUCACCAUUUUCCAUGCUUGUGAAGACCUCUAGGAACAGGUGGUUACUAGAAGAUAGCAUCCACACCUUUGUGGAAGAGCAAGUUACCAUGUUCCUUCAUCUCGCCGGUCAUAAUCAGACGUUCGGGGUUAUUCACAACACAUUCAAGAGAUCCAAUGGGACCAUUUCUCGGUAUUUCGAGCAAGUGUUGUAUGCCGCUGGGGAGCUCAAAGGAGAUAUGAUCAAGGCACCAACCGAGCAAACUCCGCACAAGAUCUGCACAAGCCCAAGAUGGUAUCCGUAUUUCAAGGUGAGCAGUGCUUGUAUUUCGUGCCAUAACAUGCUUACAAUGUUGUCAUACAGCCAUAAGAACACGUUUUCACGCCAUCACAUGAUUGUAUUGGCGCCAUAA
rnacentral:rRNA from 1 species